rnacentral:rRNA from 1 species
UACGUAGGGUGCAAGCGUUGUCCGGAAUUAUUGGGCGUAAAGGGCUCGUAGGCGGUCCAUCGCGUCGGGUGUGAAAAGCUGGGGCUUAACCCCAGUCCUGCUUCCGAUACGGGUGGACUAGAGGUAGGUAGGGGAGAACGGAAUUCCUGGUGUAGCGGUGAAAUGCGCAGAUAUCAGGAGGAACACCGGUGGCGAAGGCGGUUCUCUGGGCCUUACCUGACGCUGAGGAGCGAAAGCAUGGGGAGCAAACAGG